rnacentral:lncRNA from 1 species
UGACAAUUCUGUAUUUGAACAAGAAGCAAAGGUUAGUGAAAAGUAUAUUGCUUUUUGUGAAGUAAUUAGGUUUCAAUAUUCCUGAAAUAAAUGUAAUUAUUUGCAUACUCGAUGAAACGCAUAUAGUAACAAAAACAGAAAUUGUACGAAGCUUCUGAUACUAUCGCAAAUAAAUUUUUCUUUGAUAUAGGAAAUUAGGAAAUUUUUGUUUACUCUCAUUCCUUAACGUUCAAGACUUACGUCCAAAAACUUCAGAACAAAGAAAUGCAGCGUAAAAAUUCAAUAGCACUAUCCUAUUGCAAUUUUAAAACGCGUUUUUCAAGCUGUGUGACAGUGUCAGAUAAUCUCCUCAUCUCUUCUACGCUUUGUGUGUAAAAUUUUGAAUGAUCAAGGCGUUCAACUGUAUUUUUCCAUUCGUUCAACUCAGACUGCAUAGUCAUCAUUACAUCUUUUGAACCCUGCCAACUGCUAAUUGCUUCAGCCGCAUCGGUGUGCAUAUUCUGUAAAGACUUUAGCCGUUCUAACAACAAUGGUAAUAUGGGCAUAUACUGUUCAACGAAGGGAAGUUGGGAAGAACAAAUCUCUAACAUGAUAACAAUAUCUUCUUCCGUACACAAUUCCUUUAACGAAGAGUUUUUUAAAGUCGUUUGUUUCUCUAUUGAACAAAGAUUUCUUUCAUGGUGUUUCAAAAAAUCUUUAGCAAGUAAUUGCUUCCAUGAUUCAAUUCGGGAUUGCCAAAAUUGAGGAUCCUGCUCAACAAUUUCAAGUUUUUCCAUACAUUUGUUUAAAAGCUCGCUAAGCGGUUCAUCAGCAUACCCUAUUUUUGAUUCUAGUUUGAAUAUCCGUUUGUCAAGGCUAUCCAAAUCGAACGGAUAUGAGAGAGUUGGUGACUUCAAGGACUCAGAAGUUUUACUGUUAAGAUUUUUUUCCGUUUCCAGGGUAUCUUGCAAAGUGUCAUCUGAAAAUUGUUCAAGUCUCUUUUCCAUAGUAUCAUCAUUACCACUAAUGGCAGUGUCACUGAUAGUUUCUGACUUUGACCCUUCACUGUUUAUGUGUUUAUCCCACAAUCUAUCCAACAUUUCCCCUAAUUGAGUAAGUUCCUUCUGUUCUUCGUACAUCAUCGACUGCUCCCAUAAUUCUUCAAGUUCGCUGCGAAUUUUCAUUAGUUUCUCUUUCCAACAUUUUUUUUCAGUUUGAUCGGAAGAUUUCCUGAGUCUUAGUCGACCAAUUGUUCUCAUCGGUACAUAGCAAUGUUGCUCUUUAAGUUUACUCAAGCAUUCUUCUACAGAGAAUUGUUUUGUAACGAUGCUGGGUUCAGAGGAGCUGUCUAGAUUAAUCAUUUCUUUCAUCUUUUUUAAUUACUAUCAGUAAACGAAAUUGCUUAAAGGCGUAUCUCAGAUCAUAUGCUUACACGUUUGAUAUUUUUCGGGAGUAAUCGAUGGUUUAGGGGUUUUAUUUGGUUUCAGUUCCUUAAAUAAUAGGUGUUUUCUUAUAGAAUAAAUUUCUUGAUGUUUUAUAGUGAGCACUAUUACUUCGAUAAAAUACAGUUCUAGUCGCAAGCAAGUGCAGGUUAGCAAGGGAGCACCAUAGUAG